rnacentral:rRNA from 1 species
CUAUGCGCCUUGCCAGCCGCUCAGGUGUGCCAGCCGCGCGGUAAUACGUAGGUGGCAAGCGUUGUCCGGAUUUAUUGGGCGUAAAGCGAGUGCAGGCGGCUCAAUAAGUCUGAUGUGAAAGCCUUCGGCUCAACCGGAGAAUUGCAUCAGAAACUGUUGAACUUGAGUGCAGAAGAGGAGAGUGGAACUCCAUGUGUAGCGGUGGAAUGCGUAGAUAUAUGGAAGAACACCAGUGGCGAAGGCGGCUCUCUGGUCUGCAACUGACGCUGAGGCUCGAAAGCAUGGGUAGCGAACAGG